rnacentral:lncRNA from 1 species
AAAAAAAAGAAAAUCCAAACAAAACAAAACCCCAACCUGUUUUACAUAAAAUGUACUGAAGAAUUAAAGGCUAUUCAGGUUUUCAAUGUUAUAAAAUUCUCUUGUCUUUCUUUUUCAGGCACAUAUUGUAUUUUUUGUCUGCAGUCAUGAGCCUGAAGCAAAGAGGCCCAUAAAACAAAACAAAACAAAAACACAUAUUCUGAAAGGAGCCUACACCGUGGAGGUUUUAACGGAAGAAGCUACUGCCAACCUGACUGAGCUGCAGCUGCAGUAGGAAGGGAACGCGAGAAACAGGCAUUAUAUCUGCAAUUCCUUCAAAAUAGUGGUGCAGUACCUAAACAAAAUCAUUUUGGAGUUCAAGUAAGUAAAACUACACUUGCUAGUAGCAAUUUUUAACAGCCCCAAAUGGUACCAUUAUGCUUAUUUUAAUGAGACAGAAGUGUACUUUACCACAAAUACGGGUUAGUAAGACUGAAAUGUUUGGUAGUAACUGAAAAUAUGUGCUCUACUCGCGGGGCGAAACCAUCUUUGCCCUACCUCAGUCUCAUCGAAUUCAACAGGAUUACUCGUCUUACAGAGGUAAGUGAGAUUUAGGCCUUGAAGGAUUAACAAAAAUAAUAUUUUGGAGACAGGGAAUUUGAAUUAUCACAAUAUUUACCACACAGUGUCACAAUAUUUCUAUAUAUAAAAAGUUAAUCUUAGAUUUCAUCAAAUACUUUAAAAAUCAAGUUAAAAUCGUAUUCACAACUAUAUAAUCCCUCUGACAGCUUUUGGUUUUGCUGAUAUUUGUUCUUUCUAACAUCUUUUCCUUAAAAUCUUGCUCCUCUUCCCACCAAUGUUAGUCGUAGCGUACACAGUACGGCCCCCGUUCACAGAAGAUAUCAAAUACAGAUGCAUUUUUAAGAGGAGCUAACUAUUUUCUACCGAGACAUCGUAUGGGAGAAAAACAAAACAAAGCAACCCUGUGUUUUGAGCAGCGCUGGCCGGAGUUUCUCCAACAGCACCUUCAUCCACAACGCUCACACUUAGCAGUUCAAUGCUUAAAAGCACACCGUCACGCUUACCCUACCUAUCGUCUGUUCUCCCUUUCCAUCUUGUUUUACGCAGCUGACCUUCAGCACGCACAGUUUUGUAAACAAAGUCUUCCACCUAAACAAAAAAAUCCUCACAGACACUGAAAUAUUAUUAGAGGAGAACAAUAAAGCCACAUUUGCCCACUGUCUGAAAUUGUGCAGUGCGUGGAUCUCAUUAUGCAGAUGCACGGCUGGAUGAAGAGAAUAUAAAUGCGAACCGUUUUCGUUUUUCUAUCAUAGACAAACCAGCAGCUGGUUUGUGGCGCUGUCAGAAAUGGCAACCAGUGCGCCAUUCUCCAGCAGGUUGAUCAUUAGCAAAAUUACCUUGCUAUAAACGGUGCUCUUUUGUGAAUGGAGGCCUGUAUUUUCAACUUAUUCCAAUAAACCAAAGGCAUUACGGUGAUAACUAAAUAUUUUUGGUCUCUCUACAAAUUGUCAUUAUUAUGGCAGCACUUUUCUAAGCUGGAAUUUCAAACCAAAGGCACUUUCAUGCUAGAGUGCAGAAGAGUCACAAUUAAUUAUUUGGUCAUGAAAUUUUAAAAGGCAGCAUUAUCAAUACAAUUCACUUUUCACGGAGAACUAUGGAUCUGUAACCUUUCCUUUUGGUAUAGACACUUAAUCGCGUAGCGAUGGGACUGGCUGGUACUGAGGGUUGGUUUAGACCAAGCAGUCAAGGAGUUUUUUUCUGCGGGGAAAAAUACAGUUUAUUCAAAAAUGGAACCAAUUAAUAAAACAACGUAUCAAAUUUAUGUUAAGAGGCUAAAGGUAUUUCUAAUAUAACGCUAAGGCACUGCAUAUUGUAAUGCUUUGGCAGCUCUCAAUUAAAAGAUUCCUACAAAAAGUAACAGUAACAAGAUAAAUACUUCCAGCUUACAAAAGAGCUCACAGUUUACAGGCAGCCUGUUGGACUACACACCACACACCGAACAGUUGAAGGAUUAAGGCUUUUAAGAAUUAACAUAUACAGGGUAUGGAUCAUUUACAGAAGUGUAAAGAAAAGAUGAAGGAAGUAGUUUCCCUAAUAUUACAUAUGUGAACACCAAUAAACGUUGUGACUUUUUAUACCCUAUAGUUACGACGUAUGUAGUGUGCCAGAUUCUAUUACAAAAACUGUACCUGGUUUUGCAAAUUGACUUACAUACUCGAUACGCCUCAAAGAGUUCGCUUGUUAUUAAAACAAAAAAUCACCAAAACCACAAUUCAAACCCUAAAUAAAAGACAACUUUAGAACAAAAUAAAACAAAAAAAGUAGUUUUUGACUUGUAACACCAAGUGCUUAGAAUAAAGGGCUACCGUUAGGCUGUUACAAUGCAGUGCUUUUCCUGAUGUGAUUGUUAGUGUUAAAAAUGAGUGUUAAGAGACCCUACCAUGGACAUAUUUCACUGUUCUGUUCACAGAAUAUAAACUGAAAGAUCAUCAGCCCUAAUAUCCACAGCUAGACAUCACAGCAAUCAUCCACCUACUAGAGUUGGAUCAGUGGCAGGCCGAGGCAUUUGAGCAGUCUCCCUUCCCCUCAGAUGUCUGUACGGUGAGUCCACAACAACCCACCACUGGGUCGAGGCGAUGUUCUGGUCUAGAGAAAUUCAGUUACUGGCAGUACUGAGAGAGCACAACACGAUUUUUAAGAAAUCCAGAAAUGGAGACAUUUUCAAAGACCGCGGCGCUGUUGCCACGGAGUGAGUUCUAGACAUAAAUCACGCAUGGGCACGUAAAGGGCAGUGAGGAGGGAGCUGUUAAAUGUUAACUUCUUUGAUUUAGAGCUGCAAAAGACCUUCCCAAGAACGCUCUUUGCUGAUACCUCAUGACUGACCUUUAAGGUGGCUUGCGCUUGGCCAAGCAGUCCUGAGCCUUUCAGACAAAUGUUUUGCACGGGGACCCACUGCUGGCCCAGCACCUGCUGAAACAACUGCUGCCUGGGCAGCUGAAGGACAGUGCUGGGUGUGCAGAAGAAAAGAAACUGAGGAACACUCUGGCUUAGGUAGGAAGAAUGAGAAUACUUAUCUCACAUGUGCGUACCUCAGAUAAUCAUUCACACCCACAUCCUUGUUUUGAAUCUGCACAGUAUUAAAAUAUCUCCAGCUGCACUUCACUUCCUGGAGUCUUCCCUGAUAUAGCAGAAGGAUGAAUACUACCACAUCCAGAUGCAAAAAAGAUAUCAGGACCCACGUGGUACGUACGUGUUUGUUUCGUGUAAGGUCUUUGCCAGUAGGAACUGGAGAGAGAACUGGAGAGAGGUGUUAGAGCACCAUGAUAAAAAGGAAGAGGAGAAAAAAAAAUCUCCGCUUUCCAAACCUCUUUGCCUGGUAUUGCUUGUGAUUUUCUAGCAUCUCAUAGAUAUUAAAGCUGCUGAUCCUUUCAGAAGCGUAUGCAUUCUUCUCUCAAACACUUUCGUGUUUUGCUUUCA